CUCCUACGGGGGGCAACAGUGAGGAAUAUUGGUCAAUGGACGAGAGUCUGAACCAGCCAAGUAGCGUGAAGGAUGACUGCCCUAUGGGUUGUAAACUUCUUUUAUAUGGGAAUAAAGUUUUCCACGUGUGGAAUUUUGUAUGUACCAUAUGAAUAAGGAUCGGCUAACUCCGUGCCAGCAGCCGCGGUAAUACGGAGGAUCAGAGCGUUAUCCGGAUUUAUUGGGUUGAAAGGGAGCGUAGGUGGAUUGUUAAGUCAGUUGUGAAAGUUUGCGGCUCAACCGAAAAAUUGCAGUUGAAACUGGCA
rnacentral:rRNA from 1 species